rnacentral:tRNA from 1 species
GGUGGCUCAGUGGUAGAGUGCUUGCCUUGUGUGCAUGAGAUCCUGGGUUCGAUUCCUCAGCACCA